rnacentral:rRNA from 1 species
GUAGGUGGCAAGCGUUGUCCGGAAUUAUUGGGCGUAAAGCGCGCGCAGGCGGUUCUUUAAGUCUGAUGUGAAAGCCCACGGCUCAACCGUGGAGGGUCAUUGGAAACUGGAGAACUUGAGUACAGAAGAGGAAAGCGGAAUUCCACGUGUAGCGGUGAAAUGCGUAGAGAUGUGGAGGAACACCAGUGGCGAAGGCGGCUUUCUGGCCUGUAACUGACGCUGAGGCGCGAAAGCGUGGGGAGCAAACAGGGAUUAGAUACCCUGGUAGUCCACGCCGUAAACGAUGAGUGCUAAGUGUUAGGGGGUUUCCGCCCCCUUAGUGCUGCAGCUAACGCAUUAAACACUCCGCCUGGGGAGUACGGCCGCAAGGCUG